rnacentral:rRNA from 1 species
GUCUACGGCCAUACCACCCUGAACGCGCCCGAUCUCGUCUGAUCUCGGAAGCUAAGCAGGGUCGGGCCUGGUGAGUACUUGGAUGGGAGGAGCAAUUGUCAUUUGAGCAAUUGAGACG